rnacentral:tRNA from 1 species
GUCAGUGUGGCAUAGUGGUUUGAGCGUAGGACUAAGAUUCUGAAGACCGGGGUUCAAUUCCCUACUUGACC